GAUGAACGCUGACAGAAUGCUUAACACAUGCAAGUCAACUGUGGCGGACGGGUGAGUAACGCGUAAAGAACUUGCCUCACAGAUAUGGACAACAUUUGGAAACGAAUGCUAAUACCUGCUACUGUGAGAGAGCUUUGCGUCCCAUUAGCUAGUUGGAGAGGUAACGGCUCACCAAGGCGAUGAUGGGUAGCCGGCCUGAGAGGGUGAUCGGCCACAAGGGGACUGAGACACGGCCGUUACGCAUACGGGAGGAAGCAGUGGGGAAUAAUGGACAAUGGACCAAAGUCUGAUCCAGCAAUUCUGUGUGAAAGAUGAAGUUUUCGGAAUGUAAAGUGAUUUCAGUUGGGAAGCAGUACCAACAGAAGAAGUGACGGCUAAAUACGUGCCAGCAGCCGCGGUAAUAC
rnacentral:rRNA from 1 species